GGGGCAAUGGCGUAGUUGGGAGCGCGUCUGACUGAAGCAACGCUUCAAUGACAAGGUAUUCCACCUAGUUGAUCAGGAGGUCACCGGUUCGAUCCCGGUUUGCCCCA